rnacentral:tRNA from 1 species
GCUCAGUUGGCUGAGCAUGUGACUGCUGAUCUUGGGGUUGUGGGUUUGAGCCCCACAUUGGGUA